UAAUUCCCUUAAAGCUUUGUACUGUACCAAUAUCGUUAGGUGACAAAGAGUAGCCCACAUUUUUGUUCUGCUGCUUAUUUAUUGAAAAUUAACCACCACCCUCAUAAGUGUGAUCUGGUAUCGAAUACUCUACUUUUGGAAUCCAUGACUGAUAAGCGAAUAAUUGCUAACCAGUUAUUUCUGUGGAAGCUGAUCGACUGUCUCACACAUCUAAGUCAAGUUUCUUUUAUAAUGCUUUACUUUAAGUCCAGAUCACCAUAUCCCUUCCACCAUUGAGCCCUGUACUAGAACCUAAUAGAUACAGA